UACGUAGGGGGCAAGCGUUGUCCGGAUUUAUUGGGCGUAAAGAGCGUGUAGGCGGCCAGGUAGGUCCGUUGUGAAAACUGGAGGCUUAACCUCCAGACGUCGACGGAAACCGUAUGGCUAGAGUCCGGAAGAGGAGAGUGGAAUUCCUGGUGUAGCGGUGAAAUGCGCAGAUAUCAGGAAGAACACCAAUGGCGAAGGCAGCUCUCUGGGACGGUACUGACGCUGAGACGCGAAAGCGUGGGGAGCGAACAGG
rnacentral:rRNA from 1 species